rnacentral:rRNA from 1 species
UACAGAGGUCCAAGCGUUGUUCGGAUUCAUUGGCGUAAAGGGUGUGUAGGUGGCGCCGUAAGUCGGGUGUGAAAUCUCGGAGCUCAACUCCGAAACUGCAUUCGAUACUGCCGUGCUUGAGGACUGGAGAGGAGACUGGAAUUUACGGUGUAAGCGGUGAAAUGCGUAGAUAAUCGUAAGGAAGACCAGUGGCGAAGGCGGGUCUCUGGACAGUUCCUGACGCUGAGGCAGCGAAGGCCAGGGGAGCAAACGGG